rnacentral:rRNA from 11 species
GUGACCCCAGGUCAGGCGGGACCACCCGCUGAGUUUAAGCAUAUCAAUAAGCGGAGGA